rfam:Cavia porcellus supercont2_475 genomic scaffold, whole genome shotgun sequence.
GGGGAUUUAGCUCAGCGGCAUAAGCGCCUGCCUUGCAAGCAGGCAGUUGUGAGUUCAAUCCUGGCAGUCGUGA